rnacentral:snoRNA from 12 species
UGCUGUUAAUGAUGAAUUUUUAAAUAGAUGGGAAUCUCUCUGAAGAAGAGUGAUGAUUACAAAACUCUGAAACAGUG